GUGAACGCUGGCGGUAGGCCUAACACAUGCAAGUCGAACGGCAGCACCGUAAGAGCUUGCUCUUACGGGUGGCGAGUGGCGGACGGGUGAGGAAUACAUCGGAAUCUACUUUUUCGUGGGGGAUAACGUAGGGAAACUUACGCUAAUACCGCAUACGACCUACGGGUGAAAGCAGGGGAUCUUCGGACCUUGCGCGAUUGAAUGAGCCGAUGUCGGAUUAGCUAGUUGGCGGGGUAAAGGCCCACCAAGGCGACGAUCCGUAGCUGGUCUGAGAGGAUGAUCAGCCACACUGGAACUGAGACACGGUCCAGACUCCUACGGGAGGCAGCAGUGGGGAAUAUUGGACAAUGGGCGCAAGCCUGAUCCAGCCAUACCGCGUGGGUGAAGAAGGCCUUCGGGUUGUAAAGCCCUUUUGUUGGGGAAGAAAAGCAGCAGGUUAAUACCCCGCUGUUCUGACGGUACCCAAAGAAUAAGCACCGGCUAACUUCGUG
rnacentral:rRNA from 1 species